GUUUAGAAAAAUCUAGAGUACUUUAGUUUGUUUUUUCUCCCAUUGUGGUGCUUGGUUUAGCUUGGAGCAAUUGUUAAGAAGAAGUGAUGUCUUCGUCGAUGCUCUCCCCGUGAAUGUAGGAGGAUCGUUCCUGAUCUCCGAACCAUGAAGCUAUGAAGAGUAAGGAAAAGAAUGGGUGGCUGAAAGCUAUGCAAGAAGAGAUGUUUUCUCUUCAGAAAAAUCAAACUUGGGAGUUAGUUCAGCUUCCCAAGGCUAGAAGGAUUUAUUGAGGCUAGCAGUGAGAAACUUAUGUGCAAGUUAAAAGAUCUCUGUAUAGCUUCAAGCAGGCUCCAAGACAGUGGUACAAGAGAUUUGAUACCUUCAUGUUGGCACAUGACUACACAAAGAGUAGGAACUUAGCUCAGAAUUUGAGAUGAAGGAUUUGGGAAGUGUCAAGAAAAUUCUUGGCAUGGAGAUCCAACGUGAUCGGUAUAAUGGCAAGCUCUGGUUGACUCAGAAAGAAUACAUUGACAAAGUGUUGGUCAAAUUUAAUAUGAAGGAGGCAAAAGUAGUGAGUACUCCUCUAGCACAGCAUUUUAAAUUAUCAUUGCAGCAGUGUCCAAGUUCAGAGAAAGAAUAUCAAGAGAUGCUUAAGAUACCAUAUGCAAAUGUGGUAGGUUGUCUGAUGUAUGUCAUGGUCCGUAUUAGAUCAGAUUUAUCUCAGGCUAUUAGUGUGGUCAGCAAGUACAUGGCAAAUCCAGGAAAGAAGCAUUGGGAUGCCAUCAAAUGAAUUUUACGCUAUUUGAAAGGCACAUCAGAUGUUGGUUUAUUAUUUCAGAAGAACACUGACAUGAAUGUUUUAGUUGGUUUUAUUAACUCUGAUUAUGCAAGUGAUCUGGAUAAAAGAAUAUCUACUUCAGGGUAUAUUUUUACUUUAGGUGGUGGUCCAAUUAAUUGGAAGGCCAUGUUGCAAGAUAUCGUAGCAUUAUCAACAACUGAGGUUGAAUACAUUGCUGUAGUGGAGGCUGCUAAAGAGGCAGUGUGGCUAAAAGGCUUGGUGAAAGAACUCAACAUUGAUUCGAAGAGUUUUAGAUUAUAUUGUGAUAGUCAGAGUGCUAUUUGUCUUGCAAAGGAUCCUGUUUACCAUGCAAGAACAAAACAUAUUAAUGUACGAUAUCACAAGCUCAGAAAGUUUAUUGCAAAUGGCUAUAUUCAGCUUGUCAAAAUUUCU